GUGCUUUCUUUGGCAGCACAUAUACUUAAAUUGGAAUGAUUCAAAGAAGAUAAGCAUGUCCCCUGCACAAGGAUGACAUGCAAUUUCAUGAAUCAUUCCAUGUUUUU
ensembl:snRNA U6 U6 spliceosomal RNA